ACAGUUGGAACGACUGCUAAUACCCAAUAUGGCGAAAGCUGAAAUAUAAUUUGCCUUAAGAGGAGCUCGCGUCCGAUUAGUUAGUUGGUGGGGUAAAGGCCUACCAAGGCAGCGAUCGGUAGCUGGUCUGAGAGGAUGAGCAGCCACACUGGGACUGAGACACGGCCCAGACUCCUACGGGAGGCAGCAGUGGGGAAUUUUCCGCAAUGGGCGAAAGCCUGACGGAGCAAUACCGCGUGAGGGAGGAAGGUUUUUGGAUUGUAAACCUCUUUUUUAAAGGAAGAAUCAAGUGACGGUACUUUAAGAAUAAGCAUCGGCUAACUCCGUGCCAGCAGCCGCGGUAAUACGGAGGAUGCAAGCGUUAUCCGGAAUCAUUGGGCGUAAAGCGUCCGCAGGUGGCUUUUCAAGUCUGCUGUUAAAGACAGAAGCUCAACUUCUGAUAGGCAGUGGAAACUGGGAGGCUAGAGUAUGGUAGGGGUUGAGGGAAUUCCCAGUGUAGCGGUGAAAUGCGUAGAUAUUGGGAAGAACACCAGUGGCGAAGGCGCUCAACUGGGCCAUAACUGACACUCAGGGACGAAAGCUAGGGUAGCGAAAGGGAUUAGAUAC
rnacentral:rRNA from 1 species